rnacentral:rRNA from 1 species
GGGGAAUUUUUCGCAAUGGGGGCAACCCUGACGAAGUAACGCCGCGUGGGUGAUGAAGUAUCUCGGUACGUAAAACCCUUUCGACGGGGAAGAAAACCGCAAGGUUUGACGGUACCCGUAGAAGAAGCCCCGGCUAACUCCGUGCCAGCAGCCGCGGUAAUACGGGGGGGGCAAGCGUUGUUCGGAAUUACUGGGCGUAAAGGGCGCGUAGGCGGUUUGCUAAGUUGAAUGUGAAAACUCUGGGCUUAACCCAGAGCCUGCAUUCAAUACUGGCAGGCUAGAGUUCUGGAGGGGAUAGCGGAAUUCCUGGUGUAGCGGUGAAAUGCGUAGAUAUCAGGAGGAACACCGGUGGCGAAGGCGGCUAUCUGGACAGAGUCUGACGCUGAGGCGCGAAAGCUAGGGGAGCAAAC